AGAGUUUGAUCCUGGCUCAGGAUGAACGCUGGCGGCGUGCCUAAUACAUGCAAGUCGAACGCUUUGUAAAGGAGCUUGCUUCUUUACGAGGAGUGGCGAACGGGUGAGUAAUACAUAAGCAAUCUGCCCAUCGGCCUGGGAUAACAGUUGGAAACGACUGCUAAUACCGGAUAGGUUAGUUUCUGGCAUCAGGGACUAAUUAAAGUUGGGAUACAACACGGAUGGAUGAGCUUAUGGCGUAUUAGCUAGUAGGUGAGGUAACGGCCCACCUAGGCGAUGAUACGUAGCCGACCUGAGAGGGUGACCGGCCACAUUGGGACUGAGACACGGCCCAAACUCCUACGGGAGGCAGCAGUAGGGAAUUUUCGGCAAUGGGCGAAAGCCUGACCGAGCAACGCCGCGUGAGUGAAGAAGGCCUUCGGGUUGUAAAGCUCUGUUGUGAAGGAAGAACGGCUCAUAGAGGGAAUGCUAUGGGAGUGACGGUACUUUACCAGAAAGCCACGGCUAACUACGUGCCAGCAGCCGCGGUAAUACGUAGGUGGCGAGCGUUAUCCGGAAUUAUUGGGCGUAAAGGGUGCGCAGGCGGUUUGAAAAGUUUAAGGUGAAAGCGUGGGGCUUAACCCCAUACAGCCUUAGAAACUGUCAGACUAGAGUACAGGAGAGGGCAAUGGAAUUCCAUGUGUAGCGGUAAAAUGCGUAGAUAUAUGGAGGAACACCAGUGGCGAAGGCGGUUGCCUGGCCUGUAACUGACGCUCAUGCACGAAAGCGUGGGGAGCAAAUAGGAUUAGAUACCCUAGUAGUCCACGCCGUAAACGAUGAGAACUAAGUGUUGGGGAAACUCAGUGCUGCAGUUAACGCAAUAAGUUCUCCGCCUGGGGAGUAUGCACGCAAGUGUGAAACUCAAAGGAAUUGACGGGGGCCCGCACAAGCGGUGGAGUAUGUGGUUUAAUUCGACGCAACGCGAAGAACCUUACCAGGUCUUGACAUCGGAUGCAUAGCUAAGAGAUUAGCGAAGUCCUUCGGGACAUCCAGACAGGUGGUGCAUGGUUGUCGUCAGCUCGUGUCGUGAGAUGUUGGGUUAAGUC
rnacentral:rRNA from 1 species